UGAGGAAUAUUGGUCAAUGGGCGAGAGCCCUGAACCAGCCAAGUCGCGUGAGGGAUGACGGCCCUACGGGUUGUAAACCUCUUUUGCCGGGGAGCAAUGCUCCGCACGAGUGCGGAGCGGGAGAGUACCCGGAGAAAAAGCAUCGGCUAACUCCGUGCCAGCAGCCGCGGUAAUACGGAGGAUGCGAGCGUUAUCCGGAUUUAUUGGGUUUAAAGGGUGCGUAGGCGGAACGCCAAGUCAGCGGUAAAAAGUUCGGGGCUCAAUCCCGUCGUGCCGUUGAAACUGGUGUCCUUGAGUGGGCGAGAAGUAUGCGGAAUGCGUGGUGUAGCGGUGAAAUGCAUAGAUAUCACGCAGAACUCCGAUUGCGAAGGCAGCAUACCGGCGCCCGACUGACGCUGAAGCACGAAAGCGUGGGUAUCGAACAGGAUUAGAUACC
rnacentral:rRNA from 1 species